UACAGAGGUCUCAAGCGUUGUUCGGAUUCAUUGGGCGUAAAGGGUGCGUAGGCGGUGGGGCAAGUCAGGUGUGAAAUCCCGGAGCUCAACUCUGGAACUGCACUUGAUACUGCCUUACUAGAGUACUGGAGAGGGGACUGGAAUUUACGGUGUAGCAGUGAAAUGCGUAGAUAUCAGGAGGAACACCGGUGGCGAAGGCGGGUCUCUGGGCAGUAACUGACGCUGAGGAGCGAAAGCGUGGGGAGCGAACAGG
rnacentral:rRNA from 1 species